AGUGAACGCUGGCGGUAGGCCUAACACAUGCGAGUCGAACGGCAGCACAGUAAGAGCUUGCUCUUACGGGUGGCGGGUGGCGGACGGGUGAGGAAUACAUCGGAAUCUACUUUUUCGUGGGGGAUAACGUAGGGAAACUUACGCUAAUACCGCAUACGACCUACGGGUGAAAGCAGGGGAUCUUCGGACCUUGCGCGAUUGAAUGAGCCGAUGUCGGAUUAGCUAGUUGGCGGGGUAAAGGCCCACCAAGGCGACGAUCCGUAGCUGGUCUGAGAGGAUGAUCAGCCACACUGGAACUGAGGCACGGUCCAGACUCCUACGGGAGGCAGCAGUGGGGAAUAUUGGACAAUGGGCGCAAGCCUGAUCCAGCCAUACCGCGUGGGUGAAGAAGGCCUUCGGGUUGUAAAGCCCUUUUGUUGGGAAAGAGAAGCAGCAGGUUAAUACCCCGCUGUUCUGACGGUACCCAAAGAAUAAGCACCGGCUAACUUCGUG
rnacentral:rRNA from 1 species